rnacentral:rRNA from 1 species
CCUACGGGCGGCAGCAGUGGGGAAUAUUGCACAAUGGGCGAAAGCCUGAUGCAGCAACGCCGCGUGAAGGAAGAAGGGUUUCGGCUCGUAAACUUCUAUCAACAGGGACGAAAGAAAUGACGGUACCUGCAUAAGAAGCCCCGGCUAACUACGAGCCAGGAGCCGCGGUAAGACGUAGGGGGCAAGCGUUAUCCGGAAUUACUGGGUGUAAAGGGUGAGUAGGCGGCAUGGUAAGCCAGAUGUGAAAGCCUUGGGCUUAACCCGAGGAUUGCAUUUGGAACUAUCAAGCUAGAGUACAGGAGAGGAAAGCGGAAUUCCUAGUGUAGCGGUGAAAUGCGUAGAUAUUAGGAAGAACACCAGUGGCGAAGGCGGCUUUCUGGACUGAAACUGACGCUGAGGCACGAAAGCGUGGGGAGCGAACAGGAUUAGAUACCCUAGUAGUC